rnacentral:rRNA from 1 species
UGGGGAAUUUUGGACAAUGGGCGAAAGCCUGAUCCAGCAAUGCCGCGUGUGUGAAGAAGGCCUUCGGGUUGUAAAGCACUUUUGUCCGGAAAGAAAUCCUUGGCUCUAAUACAGUCGGGGGAUGACGGUACCGGAAGAAUAAGCACCGGCUAACUACGUGCCAGCAGCCGCGGUAAUACGUAGGGUGCAAGCGUUAAUCGGAAUUACUGGGCGUAAAGCGUGCGCAGGCGGUUUGCUAAGACCGAUGUGAAAUCCCCGGGCUCAACCUGGGAACUGCAUUGGUGACUGGCAGGCUAGAGUAUGGCAGAGGGGGGUAGAAUUCCACGUGUAGCAGUGAAAUGCGUAGAGAUGUGGAGGAAUACCGAUGGCGAAGGCAGCCCCCUGGCAAGUACUGACGCUCAUGCACGAAAGCGUGGGGAGCAAACNGGAUUAAUNCCCUGGCAGUCCACGCCCUAAAACGAUGUCAACUAGUUGUUGGGGGAUUCAUUUUCCUUAGUAACGUAGCUAACGCGUGAAGUUGACCGCCUGGGGAGUACGGUCGCAAGAUUAAAACUCAAAUAAUUGACGGGGUCAU